AGUGAACGCUGGCGGUAGGCCUAACACAUGCAAGUCGAAAGGCAGCACAGAGGAGCUUGCUCCUUGGGUGGCGAGUGGCGGACGGGUGAGGAAUACAUCGGAAUCUACUCUGUCGUGGGGGAUAACGUAGGGAAACUUACGCUAAUACCGCAUACGACCUACGGGUGAAAGCAGGGGAUCUUCGGACCUUGCGCGAUUGAAUGAGCCGAUGUAGGAUUAGCUAGUUGGCGGGGUAAAGGCCCACCAAGGCGACGAUCCGUAGCUGGUCUGAGAGGAGGAUCAGCCACACUGGAACUGAUACACGGUCCAGACUCCUAGGGGAGGCAGCAGUGGGGAAUAUUGGACAAUGGGCGCAAGCCUGAUCCAGCCAUAACGCGUGGGUGAAGAAGGCCUUCGGGUUGUAAAGCCCUUUUGUUGGGAAAGAAAUCCAUCUGGUUAAUACCCGGAUGGGAUGACGGUACCCAAAGAAUAAGCACCGGCUAACUUCGUGCCAGCCGCCGCCGUAA
rnacentral:rRNA from 1 species